rnacentral:rRNA from 1 species
ACGAACGCUGGCGGCAUGCCUAACCCAUGCAAGUCGAACGAGACCUUCGGGUCUAGUGGCGCACGGGUGCGUAACGCGUGGGAACCUGCCCUUAGGUUCGGAAUAACUCCCCGAAAGGGGUGCUAAUACCGGAUAAUGUCUUCAGACCAAAGAUUUAUCGCCUUUGGAUGGGCCCGCGUUGGAUUAGCUAGUUGGUAGGGUAAAAGCCUACCAAGGCGACGAUCCAUAGCUGGUCUGAGAGGAUGAUCAGCCACACUGGGACUGAGACACGGCCCAGACUCCUACGGGAGGCAGCAGUGGGGAAUAUUGGACAAUGGGCGAAAGCCUGAUCCAGCAAUGCCGCGUGAGUGAUGAAGGCCUUAGGGUUGUAAAGCUCUUUUACCCGGGAUGAUAAUGACAGUACCGGGAGAAUAAGCUCCGGCUAACUCCGU